GACGACGCUGGCGGCGUGCCUAACACAUGCAAGUCGAACGAAGCAUUUAAGUGAAUCCCUUCGGGGUGAAGCUUUUAUGACUUAGUGGCGAACGGGUGAGUAACGCGUGAGGAACCUGCCUCUCAGUGGGGGACAACAGUUGGAAACGACUGCUAAUACCGCAUAAUGUCAUGAACUGGCAUCGGUUUAUGACCAAAGAUUUAUUGCUGAGAGAUGGCCUCGCGUCUGAUUAGCUAGUUGGUGGGGUAACGGCCCACCGAGGCGACGAUCAGUAGCCGGACUGAGAGGUUGACCGGCCACAUUGGGACUGAGAUACGGCCCAGACUCCUACGGGAGGCAGCAGUGGGGAAUAUUGGGCAAUGGGCGAAAGCCUGACCCAGCAACGCCGCGUGAAGGAAGAAGGCCUUCGGGUUGUAAACUUCUUUUACCAGGGACGAACACAAUGACGGUACCUGGAGAAAAAGCAACGGCUAACUACGUG
rnacentral:rRNA from 1 species